UACAAUUUAAAAGCAUUUUUAGAUACUUUAUCCAAUCUCCUAUCUUUCUCACAUUUAUAAGCACACCAGAUGACUGCUUUCACCUUAUAUCUAAUGUUUAUUGUCGUAAAAAUAGUCUAAUUUUCAUAUGGGUUGCAUAGGAAUCACCUUAACCCUUGUCAUUCAAGAGAAAAGGGUUUAUUAGAGAAAUAAGCAGCACUGAAGAACAUUUGAUCAUCAAUGAGCAAUAAAGGAAGUGGAUCAUUAACAGCAACCAGGAAUACUGAUACACGAGCAGCCAAAUGAAUGGUGGAGCUACAACCGUUUGAUCUCUGUGCCUCGGUUUGCACACCCAUAAAUGUUCUACAAUUGCCUUUGCCUUGGUGAAGACAAAGAAGUUGAGGCAUUUGAGAAGCCAGCAAACACAUUUGAGUAGGACUUGGUCAAGUAUGAAAAGUUGGCAAUUGGAGGUAGAGCAGGCACCCGUUCACCUUUCUUCAAAAGCUCUUGCAAGUUUAGUCUCUGCAUGGUCAAGACAGCUCUAGAUUCCUUCCAAAUGAAGGCAAGAAGGCCAUUUUGAAUUACAAAGAGGGAACCAGGCUUUGAGCCAGGAUAUCGGAAACCAUACCCAUUUGCAAUACCCUCGCCUGCAAAUGCAUGUUUUACACUCACAGGAAUAGAAUCAGCAUCAACAUCCCAAGGAAAUGGAUCCUGCGAAGGUUCAUCGAUAUUCACCAUAAACAUUGCUGAGCCAUUUGGAUGGAGAACAUAGUGGGUUCCUUCCAAUAUUUUGGUAGCAAUGAGUUGUCUUUGCCCUUCAUAUUCCUCAUAAGAGAUCAAAAGAAAGAACAAAGCCUUUCCUGGCUUAUCUUCAGUAGGCUUCCCAGGAGGCCAACCAAAAGUCCCACCCCAUAGACCAGCAUACUCUUGGUCAGCUCUUGGAACCCGCAUGGGUAGCUUGUACAGCGCAAACCGACUGUCAUGCAUAUUUGGCCAUGCUCGAUAAGAAGAUAACUUAACUGUAGAGGCAUGUAAUGUCAAUCCUAUUGUAUCACCUGAUCUUAAAAAUUCAUGAAGCUGUGCAUGCUUGCCCUCGCUGCUAGAAGAACUAUUCUUAGAAAGUGUACGGCCACCAUUAAUAGAGGGAGACUUCCCCAAUAUUUGUCUAAGGCUAGCCCUAAAAUACCCACUAAGAGUCUUCUUCAUGAUAGAUUUUGUUUGACCAU
rnacentral:misc_RNA from 1 species